CACUCUCAGUCUCUUUCUCCUCGCUGCUCACCCCUUUCCCAUUCAGCUAGCCACCCAUGACCCACCCUGCUCCCCUGUGCAGCCGCCGGCGCGUCAUGGCGCACGGCACCCAUCCCGGCCCAACCUCCCACCCCGCGCCUCCGAACCGUCCCUACAGCCUACCUGUGGCGUCGCGAGCCUCCCACACCGCGCCCCCAUCACUCCCUGCUGUCCGGCGAGAUCCGGGGGGCAGGCAGACGCGCGCACAGUCUGGGCGGCGGCAUCCACCGCGCGGCGCUCCCUGCCCCGCGCCCCCGCCGCGAUGACGCCACGUUGGUCCGAAUCAUCGGGUGGUAACGCCCGGCGACUGGCGCGCGCCGUGCAGCGUGAGGUGGGCUCGAUCUGCAUCCACCGGUGGGAUCGGGCUCCUCAUUUUGGAGACCCUGCCGCAAGCUGUGCUCGGCCGGAUGGGCGGAGAUCGAUGAGGAGUGGAUUCCGUGGUGCAGCACGACGCCGACGGCUUCUCUUCGCCACCGAGCUCUGCUCCCCUCCCUAUGCGUCAGGAUCAGGGUGCCCACGGAUCUUACCUUGUCACGGUCGGCUCUCGUCUCUCCCUCCGCUUUUGGUAGCUCUGUUGGAUUGGCACCGCCGAUGAAAUUCGAUCUUAGAGCUUAAACAGGUGCAUAUUCGACUAAGUAUAGAACGGGAAGAUGUCGCGAAAGGAAUACUCAUGGUUUCUGAAGACUGAUUAUGCUCACAAACUCAGUUGAGGAUUGCAAACCUAGGGCAUGGUGGGCACCAUCGAACAUAACAAAGGUGGAUCUCAGUCCUUUGCCGUCGGAGAGGCAAAAGACGGUAGGUGAGAACUGUGAAGAUGAUGGCAGGAGGAUGUAGCGGCAGCAUCAGGAGAUAUAGACGCAGCAACAGCCGUCGAGCGCAGGUUCUGGUUCUGGGGCGCCGAGGUUGCGGUUUAGCAGAGGCUGCGCUCGCACAGCUCGCCGCUCGCGUGAGAACGAUGUGGCCGGACGGCGAGUGAACUGGCGAUUCUCUCCUUGACGUAGUGGCCGGACGGCGAGUGAACUGGCGAUUCUUUCCUUGACAUAGUGCGUCCGUGGGUCGAUGGAGCUCGUACGCGAGCAAGAACUGGCGUUUCUCUCCCUGGAGACGUGCGUUCGUGGGUCGAUGGAGCUCAUACGCGAGGAAGAACUGGCGUUUCUCUCCCUGGAGACGUGCGUUCAUGGGUCGAUGGAGCUCGUACGUGAGGAAGAA